AACAUAUCCUUUUGUUGUAGCAUCGCCACUAGUUGUUGGUGUGCAUGCAAGUCGAACGAAGUAGCAAUACUUAGUGGCAGACGGGUGAGUAACAUGUAGGUAUCUGCCCUUUGGCCUGGAAUAACACGAGGAAACUUGUGCUAAUACCGGAUAAGUCUUUACGGAGAAAGCUUUAUGCACCAUUGGAUGAGCCCGCACUUGAUUAGUUUGUUGGUGGGGUAAUGGCCUACCAAGACUGUGAUCAAUAGCUGAUUUGAGAGGAUGAUCAGCCACAUUGGGACUGAGACACGGCCCAAACUCCUACGGGAGGCAGCAGUGGGGAAUCUUGCACAAUGGAGGAAACUCUGAUGCAGCGAUGCCGCGUGAGUGAAGAAGGCCCUUGGGUUGUAAAGCUCUUUCGUCGGGGAAGAAAAUGACUGUACCCGAAUAAGAAGGUCCGGCUAACUUCGUGCCAGCAGCCGCGGUAAUACGAAGGGACCUAGCGUAGUUCGGAAUUACUGGGCUUAAAGAGUUCGUAGGUGGUUGAAAAAGUUAGUGGUGAAAUCCCAGAGCUUAACUCUGGAACUGCCAUUAAAACUUUUCAGCUAGAGUAUGAUAGAGGAAAGCAGAAUUUCUAGUGUAGAGGUGAAAUUCGUAGAUAUUAGAAAGAAUACCAAUUGCGAAGGCAGCUUUCUGGAUCAUUACUGACACUGAGGAACGAAAGCAUGGGUAGCGAAGAGGAUUAGAUACCCUCGUAGUCCAUGCCGUAAACGAUGUGUGUUAGACGUUGGAAAUUUAUUUUCAGUGUCGCAGCGAAAGCGAUAAACACACCGCCUGGGGAGUACGACCGCAAGGUUAAAACUCAAAUGAAUUGACGGGGACCCGCACAAGUAGUGGAGCAUGUGGUUUAAUUCGAAGAUACGCGCAGAACCUUACCAACACUUGACAUGUUCGUCGCGACUCUAAGAGAUUAGAGUUUUCGGUUCGGCCGGACGAAACACAGGUGCUGCAUGGCUGUCGUCAGCUCGUGUCGUGAGAUGUUGGGUUAAGUCCCGCAACGAGCGCAACCCUCACUUUUAGUUGCCAUCAUUAAGUUGGGCACUCUGAAAGAACUGCCAGUGAUAAGCUGGAGGAAGGUGGGGAUGACGUCAAGUCCUCAUGGCCCUUACGUGUUGGGCUACACACGUGCUACAAUGG
rnacentral:rRNA from 1 species